rnacentral:rRNA from 1 species
CGCGUAGGCGGCUUAGUCAGUCAGGCGUGAAAUUCCUGGGCUUAACCUGGGGGCUGCGUUUGAGACGGCUAUGCUAGAGGGUAGGAGAGGGUCGUGGAAUUCCCAGUGUAGAGGUGAAAUUCGUAGAUAUUGGGAAGAACACCGGUGGCGAAGGCGGCGACCUGGCCUAUUACUGACGCUGAGGCGCGACAGCGUGGGGAGCAAACA